UAUCACAAGUGCGAAUGCUGACAUAAGUAACGAUAAAACGAGUGAAAAACUCGUUCGCCGGAAGACCAAGGGUUCCUGUCCAACGUUAAUCGGGGCAGGGUGAGUCGGCCCCUAAGGCGAGGCUGAAAAGCGUAGUCGAUGGGAAACGGGUUAAUAUUCCCGUACUUGGUAAAGCUGCGAUGUGGGGACGGAGAAGGUUAGGUUAGCAGACUGUUGGAUGUCUGUUUAAGUUGGUAGGUGGGGAGUUUAGGCAAAUCYGGACUUCCAUAACACUGAGAGAUGAUGACGAGUUUCUACGGAAAUGAAGUAACUGAUACCACGCUUCCAGGAAAAGCCACUAAGCGAAAGGCUUUACUAAACCGUACUGAAAACCGACACAGGUGGUCAGGUAGAGAAUACUCAGGCGCUUGAGAGAACUCGGGUGAAGGAACUAGGCAAAAUAGCACCGUAACUUCGGGAGAAGGUGCGCUGGCGUAGGUUGUAAGAGUAUACCUCCGAAGGCUGAACCAGUCGAAGAUACCAGCUGGCUGCAACUGUUUAUUAAAAACACAGCACUCUGCAAACACGAAAGUGGACGUAUAGGGUGUGAUGCCUGCCCGGUGCUGGAAGGUUAAUUGAUGGUGUUAUCGAAAGAGAAGCUCCUGAUCGAAGCCCCAGUAAACGGCGGCCGUAACUAUAACGGUCCUAAGGUAGCGAAAUUCCUUGUCGGGUAAGUUCCGACCUGCACGAAUGGCAUAAUGAUGGCCAGGCUGUCUCCACCCGAGACUCAGUGAAAUUGAAAUCGCCGUGAAGAUGCGGUGUACCYGCGGCUAGACGGAAAGACCCCGUGAACCUUUACUAUAGCUUGACACUGAACAUUGAAUUUUGAUGUGUAGGAUAGGUGGGAGMCUAAGAAGCAGKCACGCCAGUGMUUGUGGAGKCGWCCUUGAAAUACCACCCUUUAACRUUUGAUGUUCUAACGAAGAUURCGAAACGYGGUCUCGGACAGUGUCUGGUGGGUAGUUUGACUGGGGCGGUCUCCUCCCAAAGCGUAACGGAGGAGCACGAAGGUUUGCUAAUCACGGUCGGACAUCGUGAGGUUAGUGCAAUGGUAUAAGCAAGCUUAACUGCGAGACAGACAAGUCGAGCAGGUGCGAAAGCAGGUCAUAGUGAUCCGGUGGUUCUGAAUGGAAGGGCCAUCGCUCAACGGAUAAAAGGUACUCCGGGGAUAACAGGCUGAUACCGCCCAAGAGUUCAUAUCGACGGCGGUGUUUGGCACCUCGAUGUCGGCUCAUCACAUCCUGGGGCUGAAGUAGGUCCCAAGGGUAUGGCUGUUCGCCAUUUAAAGUGGUACGCGAGCUGGGUUUAGAACGUCGUGAGACAGUUCGGUCCCUAUCUGCCGUGGGCGUUGGAGAAUUGAGAGGGGCUGCUCCUAGUACGAGAGGACCGGAGUGGACGCAUCACUGGUGUACCAGUUGUCUCGCCAGAGGCACUGCUGGGUAGCUAAAUGCGGAAGAGAUAAGUGCUGAAAGCAUCUAAGCACGAAACUCGCCUUAAGAUGAGUUCUCCCUAGCUAUAAGCUAGUAAGGGUUGUUGAAGACUACGACGUAGAUAGGUCUGGUGUGUAAGCGGUGUGAGCCGUUGAGCUAACAGAUACUAAUUGCCCGAGAGGCUUAACUAU
rnacentral:rRNA from 1 species